rnacentral:lncRNA from 1 species
UCAACUCACACUCUCUCUCAUACCCUCUCUCUGUCUUGCCUCUCAAUCUCACCUUACAGCACUCUGCUCUCAGCCCACAACACAACGCAUAGAAAAUCUAAGUACCCUACCCUCCCUUUUAUAGACCAAGGGAAAAAGGUGGUAGACUCCUAACGGAAUACCUAAUCAUUAUCCUAAUCUAACUAGGAAAAUAAAAAAAUAAACACUCUUAAAGAUUCUAGAUAACUCGAGAGUUUCACCAUCAAAUGGAUACUCCAUAUGAAUUCCAACCGGGCUUGAGCUUGGCUACUGGACUUGUACUCAUCCAAGUGGUCUUGGACUCAUCCAGAUGGGAUGGACUCAACAAUCUUCCCCUCCAGCCCACUGGAGGGUAAUCUGAUGUCUUUAAGUUAUCCAUCUUGACAGCUUCUGAUCCAGCUCUCCCAUAAAAUCUGCAAGACAACAUCUUAGAUACCUUAGCCUCAUCAACGGGUUACUCCACUUCCCACCGAAGUGUGUGCACCUCCACACCGAAGUGCCUGCACUUUUUCACCAAGGUGCCUUGCACCCCCCCCCCAUUGGGGUGCGUCACCCCCCACGGAGUGCGCCACAAAGUACGUCACUUUUCAAGUUGUCGUGGC